ACGACUCAAGCUACCCUCUUUGUUGCUAUCUGAGACCCUCUCAGGUUCAUCCACAGCUCCUUUGCCUCUCCUCCGAAGCUCUGGAUGGUCACCUGACCACGGACUCUGGCAGCAGCCCACUCUCCCAAAAGGCCAGAUGUAGGAGGAUGUUGAAAAGAGGUGCCCAUCCUUGCUGGUCUACAGCUAGACUCUAGCUAGCCCCAUCUCCCAGAUCCUGUCCUCUCUUGCUACUCCCUAUUGACUUCCUAGUCUAUGUGGAGCCAAAAAAUCCCUUUGUGUCCGGAGCCUGCCAGGUCUUGCCUCCUUCAGAGCCCUUCAGACACCACUUGUCUCUAUCCUGCUUACUGGCCAGGGCCAUUGCGUACAUCACUUCCUGGCUCUUCACCCUAAAACUCUCUGUCUGCAUUUCCCACACUGAGUCUGUGUCUUCUCUAAAGGCACUGUCUGGUCAUUUGCCAUACCCCACAUCGCACCAUCCUGCCUCCUGGCCUCAGCCUCAUUCUCUGGGGGCCUCUGGGGGCUCAGGUGGAUGGCAGGGCACCUUUACCCAGACAGAAAGGAUGGUGCAGCUGAGUCUAGCCCAAAAGAGAACCCAAAAUUCCAGGUUCCUAGCAGCAACUGGAAGCCAUCGGGACAACUCAGAGGUAGAGAGUCGGCUCCACUCUGCUCAUGGGAAUCCUCAGCACCUUCCCUGACUUUGGGGUACCUGAUGGAGGCACGUGUACUCUCGACCCACGGCUCUCACAGACCGCCUGCCCCAGAAUAACCGCUUGGAUCACAACCAGCCCAACAGCACUGGAGCCAGCAGCCCUGGCGAGGGGGAGGAGGAAGGAGGCUCUGCUAUCAACACCAGCUUUGGGCGCCACCUCUUGUCUCUGCAGGCGGGAGAGGCGGCAGCACGGGACAUGGCCACUUUGGAAUGUCCUCCCUUUGUUCUCUGUUCCCUGACAUCAUAGUUCAGGCCCCCAAUUGCUCUGGAGUACAAGCCACCUGGCCCCAUGAGAAAGUUAACAGUUCUGCAGGGAUUGCCAAGGCCCUGAGAAGAUAGGGAAGGGCCGCUCCUGAAAAGAGCACAAGUACAAGUCCCUCCUGGGUUUCCAGCCCCAUCCCUCCCCUAGUAUCUCACCUCUUCUUCCUAGAGACAACUUUCCCGGCUAAGAGGGGCUUUUCUAGAAUAUAUGCCCAGGGACAGACGGCCUCUCCUUGCUCUAAGGAGCAACCCCAUCCAUGUAUGCAUUGCCCCACCUACCCCCUUUGACCCUCAACCCUUCUUCCCACCAACACACGGCAAAUGUAACCGGGUGUACUGGAAUGUGGGCCCCUGAGGCACAGGGACCAGGCCACCCCGGCCUAUGACCCAAAGGGUGUGGGCUCACAACAGAGUUGAUCCAGAAGAGACCAUACAUCUCUGAGUCUGUGGCUAGCAGAAAAGGCACAGACAGGAACUCAGUGAAAGCCACCCAGUGGAGGUGGGCACUAUGAGGGGCCACAAGGGGCCGCACGUCUGGGUGGGUGUGUGCUGGAACGGCAGAGAGGCCACAAGGCCCCUCAUCAGUAAGGCCAGGAGGGGACAAGAGAAGCCAGGAACAUCGGUGCGGGGUAGGGAGGAGGGGAGGGACGGGCCUCCACUGGGCUUUGCUUUUGAAGGCAGAGAUAAGCUGACUUCCACAGGUAAGAUGUGAUGUGGAAGCCAGAGAGGAGCCAUCAACGAAUCCCAGGUGAAGAAAACAACAGAAGGGGCAGCCUCACAUCAAACCUGGGGGGCUCAGCACCUCCAGGUUCCCCCAGUCUCCCCCAAAACUAGUCAACUGCAGAGUCCCAACAAGAGACAGGGUCCCAACAGGGAGAGACAUGAAAACCAGCCACCACUGACCAUCUUAGGGAAGACCUGGGACCUUUCAGUUCUGGGCAGAUGAUGGAACCGUGAGUCGAUCACACAGUGACAUACUCAAAUAGCUCUGGACAGCUGGGCCAAGUCACCCCUGCUUGCGGUCUCGAGAGACCGCUCCCUCGGCCUGUCAGGGACGGAUGCAUCUGACAGAGUAAUAGAAGCUUUGGUGUGGUUCAGCUCAGGUUGCAAGAAGCUGCGUUCCAGGUGAGCCAGAAAGAGGAGUCGCGGUGCCACAGAGUGCUCCGUGUCAGAGGGUAUAAGAAAGGAGGUGAAAGAACAAAAAUGUCACACCAACAUGGACAGAUGUCACACAAGGCCACUCUGUGGCCCUCACCUCUGUUAGACCACCAUAGCCUCUGAGAGCACACUUCGGAACACAGGGAAGGCUUCCUGGAAACCAACAGAAGGGUUAAAAGCCCAGUGAGUGUGUGCAUGUGUGUGUGAGACCCUUUGUAGGCUGAAAGACAAAUGGCCUGAGUUACAGUCUGGCACUCCGGCCAAUCUCCAAGACUGAUUUUGAAAUUAUGGGACCAGCACAUUAGAAACCAAGCUUUAGGUCACAUUAACUGUCAUACUGUUCAAGGCAAAAAUCAGUAGAGAAGUGUGUGUGCAUGUGUGCAUGGCUGUGUGCCUUGUGCAUCCACAGAUUAAAAUCUAAAUAUCUUCUCCAAAAUGUUUGGAAUGGACCCUGGGUUUAAUAUGGCUGUCACUAUUAUCUCCUUUUAAACAAAGCAUUGGGGUGACUAGAAAACUGACUCAGUAGCUAACGAGCCAACU